CACGAAAGUUAGGUGUUACGAACAGCAGAAGACGAACUUCGUUGCUUAAACGGGGAGAGGCGGAAAGGCGGGGAUCGGCGAAGAAAGGCAAGAGCUAUAAAAGAGGCACCGGUCACGACGAUGGGCAUCAAACACCUCAACAUGAAGGUACGUGCUAAGACGCGUUCGCAAGCGUUUCCAUUCGUACACGGUGUUCUUUCUAUUCUUUCUUCUGUACUCUCUUUCUCUUUCUUCUCGCCGGAUCUUCGGAUACGAUUUACACGACAUCUUUUCGUUACAGGUGUUCGCGAUUACGAUCCUCUUGGCGCUCGUAGCCACCACCUAUGCCGGUUACAUAAGCAGCGGCUGGUCCGGCGGUGGUGGCGGAUGGAGUGGCGGCGGUGGCGGCGGUGGAUGGAAGGGAGGAUGGAGCGGCGGCGGUGGUGGUGGCGGAUGGAGCGGCGGCGGCGGUGGUGGCGGCGGUGGAAAAAUCAUCAAAGUGAUCACUGUGAGCGGCGGUGGAGGUGGAUGGCCUAGCGGCGGCGGCGGUGGCGGAUGGAACGGUGGUGGCGGCGGCGGUGGAUGGAAAGGAGGAUGGAGCGGCGGCGGUGGUGGUGGCGGAUGGAGCGGCGGCGGCGGCGGCGGUGGCUGGUGGUAAAGGACAACCGAGGACCGCGAAUAAUUAGAAGGAAAUUUUGCUCACCGAUCACCACCAGUGCACAUCUUGGCUGUAAUCACACCGAUUGUCGGUUCACGAAGAAAUAGCCUGACCCCUCUUGUGUGGUUCAUCCAUCUUUGAUUCCUCCUUCUUUAUCCCUCUCUCUCUCUCUCGCUCUCGCUCUCUCUCUCUUUGUUUCCUUCACGCGAACACGACCAUCGCGGAGGAAUGAAAAGAAGAACGCGACAGCGACACCGUCGCGACAAGAAACGCGCGGUUCCAUCUGCCGCGACUUCCGGAAUAUAAGCAGACACAGAGAGAAGAAAGAAAAGGACAACAGCGAGAGCAGCGGCCACCAUCACGCUUCCGAGGUUCCCUUUCUUCGUAACGCAACGAGAUCGAGCUUUUGGUUGUACAUACAAGCUGGUCGAGAUUGCCAAUCCACUUCCGGCAAACCCUUGGACGGACCUCUUUCGUCGACCUGCGACAUUCGCAUACAAAAAUCCCCGAGCUAAACGCGUGUUUUCUUUCGAUUAGGAAUUCGAUAUCCCUAUUCGUUUCGUUGAAUUCACGGAAUAUAUCCGAACGAGAGGGUACGGGCUACUCUUCGACCAAAAUAUUUAGCAAAUAAUAUUGUAGAUAUUGUAAAUUCGAUCCCACGUCGUUCAUACAGUAUAUCCGCGCAUAAUUCGGUUUCACGAAGGAAAAGGAUUGAAAAAUGAAGAAGUUGUAACGACGUGGGGGAUAGAAUAUUGUACAGCAUAUUUUGUACUUCUUUUUAUAUUGGAUUUCCACGUGGGACCAGCAACGAUUAAAAAUUCAUUGACACACAAAA